rnacentral:lncRNA from 1 species
UGCAAACUGGAGGGAAGAGGGAGGAAAGAGGGAAGAAAAGGGGAAGGAAACAUUGCCUGCAGGGCACUUUCCGCUGCCGGACCAGGUGAUGUCAGCGCGCGACUCGUUGGAUCUGGAUCGCCCCCAAGAGGAGAGAGAGAGAGAGAGAGAGAGAGAGAGAGAGAGAGAGAGAGAGAGAGAGAGAGAUCAGUAGGGAAGGAGGAGUAGAACUCUGGACUCAACUUCUUCCCCGUUUCUGAAAAGUUUCACAGAACGAAGGUCCUUGGACCGGGGUUCGAACGGACACCUUCCUUUCCUUGAUGGGACUCCCGCUUGUUGAUUGAUGUGGACGCAGCGAGCCUGGACCGAGCCCUCGGAGUAGCUGAGAAGUGAGCCCCUCGCCUAUGGGGGCAGCCAUGUGGACCCACGGUGUCUCUGCGUUCCUCUUCCUCGUAUGGCUGAACAUCAGCGCAUGUGACGAAGGUCCGCAUCCGUCUGGUGGAGGGGUCCGAUGCCCUGCUCUGCAGGUGGAGGACUGGAAAUUCCCCCAGACGACCAGGCACAACAUCACAGGUACGGCAUCACGGGGGGCAUGUUGCCAGGGCGACUGAGCAGAUGGGUGGGACUCUGACCUUUACAAAGAGGGUGGCGUUCAGAGCUCAAGCUGCUUUCAGUCCUAUUUUUCAACAAACUCCAUCGCAGUUCAGCAUUUGAUAAUUCAUCGGUCAUUUGGAAGUUCUACCAGGAGACUGAAUUUGGCCGGCACCUACGAAGAUGAUUAUACUUCAUCGGAUUUGGACGAUCACCAAGACUUCUGUAUUUCACGGGAAAUUGAAUUAAAUUAAUUGAAGUAUAAUUGAAAUGGCAAGCACCGUUCUUGUCAUAUCAGUUGACUUUGCAUUUUCCUCAUCACCAUUCAGCUCAGCUAUUUGACCCCGGUACAGAAAUAGAGGCCA